rnacentral:rRNA from 1 species
CCUACGGGAGGCAGCAGUGAGGAAUAUUGGUCAAUGGUCGGGAGACUGAACCAGCCAAGCCGCGUGAGGGAUGAAGGUACAGAGUAUCGUAAACCUCUUUUGUCAGGGAAUAAAGGCGGGGACGUGUCCUCGGAUGAGUGUACCUGAAGAAAAAGCAUCGGCUAACUCCGUGCCAGCAGCCGCGGUAAUACGGAGGAUGCGAGCGUUAUCCGGAUUUAUUGGGUUUAAAGGGUGCGUAGGCGGUCUGUUAAGUCAGCGGUCAAAGCCCUGGGCUCAACCACGGCCCGCCGUUGAAAAUGGCAGGCUCGAGUAGGAGAGAAGUAUGCGGAAUGCGCGGUGUAGCGGUGAAAUGCAUAGAUAUCGCGCAGAACUCCGAUUGCGAAGGCAGCAUGCCGGCUCCACACUGACGCUGAGGCACGAAAGCGUGGGUAUCGAACAGGAUUAGAUACCCCUGUAGUC